UGGCUCAGUGGUUAAGAGCACUGGUUGUUCUUGCAGAGGACCUGGGUUCAAUUCCCAG
rnacentral:tRNA from 1 species